rnacentral:misc_RNA from 1 species
GCGACGCUUUUCAGGUAAUGGCAGUUGUGUCCUCUUAUUAACCACUAUUUCUUCUCCAUCCAAAACAGAGGUUGCGGAGCUUUUCCGAUCGUGAAAAUCGACAAUGGCUCAUAGCUUAGAGCUACAGAGCACGGGAAUGUUAUCUAAAGAACAGUUGCUUCUUCUCUUCGAUCGCUUCUCUUCGAUCGCUUCUCAGCCUGGUAACCUCAUACCUUUUCCCUUUCCCUGAAACUCGCAUUUCAUUUCCUUUCGUGUUAACCAUUAUCUUUUCUUGUGUUCUUAAUCAGAUGUAAAGAAAAGAAUUAAAGAUGGCGUCAAUGAUAAACAGGAAGCUGUUGCUGUUACCACUGCAAUCCAGGAAGCCAUAUUUUUGGAGAUGGGGAUUGGUGAGUCUUUCUGCUUGCUGAUUCAUUAUUGGACCACUGGUCCACUGGGGCAAAAUUCUCUAUAUUUGCAUUAUUGCUGCUUUCGCUAGUUGAAUUAAUACAUUUACCAUAUCAAUUCUGUGCAAACUUGAGGUACGCACUCGCCUUGUUUUAUCUAUGGAUGAACUUCCAUGCUAUUGAAGCUAGUUGGCUGAAUCUAGUGUCCUUUCAUAUUGUAUUAAAGCAAACUCCAAAUUGCUGCAAGGCUUGGCAUCUUAUAAUCGCCUAGGGUGAACUAAGAUACUCCCCAUAACGCUCAAAAGCUGAUAGCAAUUCAAUGGCGUGCUAGGUUUUAGUCAUUUUGUUGUUUGUCAUUUUGAUUGAGUGUGAUGUUAGUUUGUUUAUGUUAAUCUCAUGGAGCUCUGUGGGUGUACUAUUCUUAGAGCUUUGAGAAUUUAAACUUAUUGCUGAACCAGUAAUCAUACAGUGAAUAGGUUAGGAAGUUUAAGGUAGUGCAUAAUGUUUUGUCGGUUGAUGGAGAGCAUAUGCACUCUUACUCUGGCUAUAUCAUUAUUAUAUUUUUUACUUUCAUCACUUCUAUCUCAAUCAUGGCAUCUUAAGGAUUAGAUGUCAGCAAUUCAUUCUUUUUGCCAAAUUGAGAGUUCAUAGUCAUGAUGACAUGAACUUUUAGUUUUUAAGCUGUAAUUCUUGAUAAUAAAAGAUCCACUUUCUGUUAUUUUGACUCAUUGGGCAGUUUUCUGGUGGCUAUUUGUAGUACUUACACAGAUUUGUAGUACUUACAUAGCAUCUAAAGCUACUUUCUCACUUUUCCAGAUCCAAGUUUUGGUAUAUCAUGCCUAGGGAAAGUGAAUAUGGUUUAUGAGAAUGAUCAGGAUUUGAUGAUUCGCUUCUAUAAAUUUGUUGCAAG